rnacentral:rRNA from 1 species
UACGAAGGGGGCUAGCGUUGCUCGGAAUUACUGGGCGUAAAGCGCACGUAGGCGGCUUCUUAAGUCGGUGGUGAAAUCCUGGAGCUCAACUCCAGAACUGCCUUCGAUACUGGGAAGCUCGAGUCCGGGAGAGGUGAGUGGAAUUCCCGGUGUAGCGGUGAAAUGCGUAGAUAUUGGGAGGAACACCGGUGGCGAAGGCGGCUACCUGGACCGAUACUGACGCUGAGACGCGAAAGCGUGGGGAGCAAAC